CUUACUUGUAGCCAUUGUGAGGAAGGGUUCCCAGUCUUCCUGGUAACGGGGUUCUAUGCCAAUCUUGAUGUCUUUCUCUCUUUAUGACCAGCCUACGUGUUUGCUGUAGAGUGCUGUAGAGUGCCCAUGAUUCUAACUACUGGGGAAGCUGACACAGUAGGGUCACUCCAUCACUUAGUCCAAGAGGCUGUUCUGGGACACCGAAACACUCACUCGGAGGAGGAGGAGCAGCAUUGGGCAUAUUGUUUUCUGAGGUUCAAGAAUGUAACUGUUGAAGGAUUCCUUCAACACCGAGGAACCACAUCCGAUGGUACUUCGUGAAUGUGAUUAGAGAAACCCAUCAGUGAACGACCUGCUUUGCUCGCCUUAUUUUUAUUCUUUACAUUAAAAGAUUUUUUUAUCUA